rnacentral:tRNA from 1 species
GGACAGAUAGCAAACGUGGUAUAUGCGUCCCGCUGAAGACGGGAAGAAGAAGGUUCAAUUCCUUCUCUGUCCA